rnacentral:rRNA from 1 species
GACGAACCGAGCGAACGUUGUUCGGAAUCACUGGGCUUAAAGGGCGCGUAGGCGGGUGCUCAAGUCCGGGGUGAAAUCCUCCAGCUCAACUGGAGAACUGCCUCGGAUACUGAGUGCCUCAAGUGUGGUAGGGGUGUGCGGAACUAUCGGUGGAGCGGUGAAAUGCGUUGAUAUCGAUAGGAACUCCGGUGGCGAAGGCGGCACACUGGACCACAACUGACGCUGAGGCGCGAAAGCCAGGGGAGCAAACGGG